rnacentral:lncRNA from 1 species
CACAGUUCUCCUAAAUAGUUCCCCCAACUUACCUCCCGUUUUGCUGCUUUGUAGGGGCUCUGACUCAGAAGCAGGACCUGGGGCUCCCCUCUCAGGGACCCCGCUUUGCCCUUCCUCAGCAAUCCUUUUUUUCUUCCCUCUCCUUUCAGUCCAAGCAUCUUGGUGAUUGUGAUUGGCCAUGGCUUCAUAGUGCAUUCUCAUGUCAUGAGGAGCUGUGUUAGAUCAGCUCCAGGUGGGCUGACCCAUUCCACCUGCAACUCAGAGCCUGCAACAGCUGGCUGGCCUUUAAUUUCCUGAAUUGGAAACAACCCUCGCUCAAGGAAUUCGGCCAUUAUGUGAACCUCUUGGCAAAGAAAGAAAACUGCAUUUGCUUAACUCCCUGUUGGAAAAUGUGAAAAGCUAUUUGCACAUACCAUGGCCAGUUGGGACUGAAGCUCAAUUUCCAGGGCUUGCAGGCUGUUGUAGGCUGAUGAAAGGAGCAGAAGCGGCCGGUGUGUAGCUACUGGCUUAGGUGCUCAGCAGAGAGGAUCUACCUGCCCCAGCAUCAGUGGAGAUUUGUCUAAUGGUCUAAAGUUUACCCUUGGGAUGUUUGUAAAUUUAGGUCAUGAUCCUCUAGUAUAUAUAUAUAUAUAUAUAUAUAUAUAUAUAUAUAUAUAUAUAUAUAUAUAUAUAUUUAUUUAUAAAAUGGAAUAAAAUUUAUUUUUCUCCC